GUUGCCGGUUUCAAAUGUGCUUUCUGUGAGAAAGUCAAGAAGGUGCCACUCCCAGCCAAGGAUAAUCCUAAUCCCUGACUUCAGCUUCUUGCUAUCUACACCAUCUGUAAAGGUUACCUAUCCUUAGACAUGUUAGAAACCAUAUCAGUAACCAUAUGAUAUUUAAAAUCUUGAGAUCAAUUGUGUCAAGUAAAACAAAUCAUGCCAGAUAAAAAUUAUGAAUUUUUCCAUAAAAGCAUCAUCUUCAGGAAGGACCUCAGGAGGGUGUUCUGCCAUCAUCACGUUAUGAAAAGCAUUUGAAAGAAAGGCUGACUGUUGUUGACAAGGAGGAGGGGAAACUUUAGGCUAAAAGAGGAAGAAAGCAGUCAGGGGAUAUUAUCCAGAAAGAAAACAUUUUAGGUGAGUGAUAAACGAUGAAGAAAUGAAAUUUCCAGUGGAAGGAUUCACCAGUGCAAACACCAAUAGCAACCAACACGUCAAAUAUGAAAUGCCACCAGAUGCCAUAAAAGAACAACUCAGGUCCUCCCUUUUAAAACUAAGUCAAAAUCUGGUAUAUUUCAGUGGAACUGAGUUGUUUAGCUUUAGAAGCCAUACAGUGACCCCAUAGCCCUACACUCAUCUCCUCUGUUAAUGACUCUACAGCUAUAAACCAGGCUUGACUAUGUUCUAUAAAGAAGACCCUCUCAAUAGACUAGAUUUCCUUAUCCACAGAAAGGAGAAAACUCUCAGGGCAAUGUUACCACCUCUAUUGCUGGCAUUUAUACAGAGACCUUGCUAAUAUCCAUCUGUGCUGCAUGCCAUUUACAAAAUAAUAAAGUGUAAUUCUGGAAAAUUA